ACGUAGGGGGCGAGCGUUGUCCGGAAUGACUGGGCGUAAAGGGGGCGUAGGCGGCCGGGUAAGUGGUGGGUGAAAACGCAGGGCUCAACCUUGCGCUGUCCCGCCAAACUGUCUGGCUUGAGGGCGCUAGAGGGCAGUGGAAUUCCCGGUGUAGCGGUGAAAUGCGUAGAUAUCACACGGAACGCCGGUGGUGAAAACGGGUCACUGGGCCUGUCCUGACGCUGAGACGCGAGAGCGUGGGGAGCAAACAG
rnacentral:rRNA from 1 species